CAAGGCUCGUAAGAGAAGCCCUGUGCGAGCUGGAACUUCCUUACAUCCUCUGGAACACGGGCAAAGGGUCACUUAAUUGCUCCAAGCUCAAGCAAAUCUCGGGUUCAACACAGGUUCCAUAUCUGG